GAUGAACGCUGGCGGCGUGCCUAAUACAUGCAAGUCGAGCGAACAGACGAGGAGCUUGCUCCUCUGACGUUAGCGGCGGACGGGUGAGUAACACGUGGAUAACCUACCUAUAAGACUGGGAUAACUUCGGGAAACCGGAGCUAAUACCGGAUAACAUGUUGAACCGCAUGGUUCAACAGUGAAAGACGGUCUUGCUGUCACUUAUAGAUGGAUCCGCGCCGCAUUAGCUAGUUGGUAAGGUAACGGCUUACCAAGGCAACGAUGCGUAGCCGACCUUAGAGGGUGAUCGGCCACACUGGAACUGAGACACGGUCCAGACUCCUACGGGAGGCAGCAGUAGGGAAUCUUCCGCAAUGGGCGAAAGCCUGACGGAGCAACGCCGCGUGAGUGAAGAAGGUCUUCGGAUCGUAAAACUCUGUUAUUAGGGAAGAACAAAUGUGUAAGUAACUAUGCACGUCUUGACGGUACCUAAUCAGAAAGCCACGGCUAACUACGUG
rnacentral:rRNA from 1 species